CAAGAAAUAGUUUAAUUAAGAAUUCUAGCUUUGGGAGCUAUAGGUGGGAGUUAAAUUCUCUCUUUUUUGG
rnacentral:tRNA from 1 species